CAUUAGCGGCUCAACGCGCCCCUCCAGGCCACGGAGUCAGGCCUCCGUCCUUUCAGCGGCAGGGGCAGAUUACGUAACUCCAGUCUUCUGGUCACUAAAGGAGGAUAACAGAGGGCGGUCGAGAGACUCCGCUGACGCCUCAGGACGCAGCGCGGUCAAGCCCCAGGACCCCAAAUUCUACGGCCCAGCGCCCCCCACCAAGCGAGCGCCCGCGGCAGCGUGACGUAAUCUGCCCCAAACGCUGUGGCCCGGGCCGCGCACGGCUUCGGGGCGGGACUAUGCGGUGACGUCGAGGUGCGUGGCGCAGCGCGCGGCGUCAGUCUUGGCUGGCGGCGUCUGUACUCUAUACUCCGUACUCGCCGCGGCGCGGUCUUCUGCAGCAUAGUCAUCCACCGCAAUCCUGGGCCUCACGUGUUGCCUGACCGUUCCUGAGCCCAGGUGGGAGCCUUGGCUGAGGUGAUGGUCUCAAAGUGGAAGAGCUUACUGUCACAGCAACUGUUUUGCAAGAUGCCCCGGUAAAUCACGUUGCAAAGACCCCAACUCUGCCUUCCUGGAACUAGGCCUGCGUUUUCUCUGAACCGUUAUUUCAUGGGGAAAAUGAAAUCUACUUCAUGUGUCCUGUCUUACUCGUUCAGAAGUGAUUUCUGAGCCGUAAGAUACAUGAGAGAAAAAUAAAGGGGAAAAGGCUGCAUUUAUAUUAACUACAUGAUGAUAAGGAUGUUUCUGGUCACAGUGAAGAGCCAUGCUAGAAUUGUAGUGUCAUAGAAUAAUGUGAAAGUUUAGUUCGUGUUGUCUGAUCUAUUUAAUAAUUUAGUAAGUUUAUCUCUUCCAAGACACCUUCCCUUCUUCCUUAGCCAGAAAUGAUCUUUCCCUGAGAGUCAUCAGUAGCUCUGGGCUCCUGGAACCAAGCUCAGGUGCCUAAUUGAAAUCUGUUCUCUUCCCACAGCCUCCAGCAAGGACUGGUGCUUAGUGAGAGUGGGCUGCCAGAUUCCUUGAGUGUGGGGGAUUUGGGUGAAUGAGGGUAGCAAGCCUCCAGCGUGCUUGGGUCUGCGGUGACCCUAUGCAUUCCUUAAGUGCUUGCUAGAACAGUUUUGAAACGGUUUGAGGCCUUGCCCUGCUCCAUCCAGAGCAAGGUUAUAGAAAUUUCAGACAAUGACUGGCUCCCUCCUGGAUCUGGUGUCUUGUAUAGAGCUGGGCCUUAUAUAGAUCUGCCCCAUCUAAUGUGGCACCCACUUGGCCAGGAACAGUUGCUGAACACCCCAGGCCUGCUGAGGUCCCUCCUUGAGUCUCAUGUUCAAGCAAUCUUUGUCCAUGAAACUGGGAGGUGACCUUGUUAGCUGCCAGUUCUUGACAGCCACCUCUCACCAGUGGCUCCACUCUGUGUCCCUGACCCAGCACAUGGCACAAGAGUGCCUGCCAUCCCUCAGAGUUUCUACAGCAGCCAUCCUGAGAUGCCGGAGCUAGAGGGGACCUGACCUGAGAGAAGAUACCUUCAGUGGCUGCUAGGCUGUUCCUUGGAACCUGUGCAGGGAUGAGGCCUGCCUGUGUUAAUACAUCUGCUGAUGAGUGGAGCUGAAUUUGAAUGCAAGUCUUGGCACCUUAAUUGAGCAAGUUUGAAACCUUGUUUGCUGCCCUUCUGGAAGGAGUCAGGAAUUUCCAGUUCUGGGCCUGGCCUAUGGGUCUGACAGACCUCUGGCCCUAGGUUUGGGUGCCAGGUUCUCUGCUUCCAGAAUGAGAAGCUUUGCUGUGCACCAGGACCUGGGCCCUUCUGGUAUCUCCUGAAUGAAAAACAAGGGCUGUUUAAUAAAUAUGGAUUUAAAUAUG